AGUGAACGCUGGCGGUAGGCCUAACACAUGCAAGUCGAACGGCAGCACCGUAAGAGCUUGCUCUUACGGGUGGCGAGUGGCGGACGGGUGAGGAAUACAUCGGAAUCUACUUUUUCGUGGGGGAUAACGUAGGUAAACUUACGCUAAUACCGCAUACGACCUACGGGUGAAAGCAGGGGAUCUUCGGACCUUGUGCGAUUGAAUGAGCCGAUGUGGGAUUAGCUGGUUGGGUGGGUAAAGGCCCAGCAAGGCGAGGAUAGGUAGCCGGACUGAGAGGAUGGUAGGCGACACGGGAAGUGGGACAGGGUCAAGACGACUAAGAGAGGCAGCAGUGGGGAAUAUUGGGCAAUGGGCGGAAACAUGAUCCAGCCAUACCGAGUGGGUGAAGAAGGCCUUCGGGUUGUAAAGCCCUUUUGUGGGGAAAGAAAAGCAGCAGGUUAAUACCCCGCUGUUGUGACGGUACCCAAAGAAUAAGCACCGGCUAACUUCGUG
rnacentral:rRNA from 1 species